rnacentral:rRNA from 1 species
CAUCCGGUCGAUCCUGCCGGAGCGCGACGCUCUCCCCAAGGACGAAGCCAUGCAUGCCCGCUCACCCGGGACGCGGCGGACGGCUCAGGACGACGGUUGCACCCCCCGCGGCGGUCCCUGCUAGCCGGACACCGCUGGCAACCCGGCGCCAAGACGUGCGCGCAAGGGCGGGCGCCCGCGGGCGAGCAGCGUGACGCAGCGACGGCCCG